AUUGAACGCUGGCGGCAUGCCUUACACAUGCAAGUCGAACGGCAGCACGGGUGCUUGCACCUGGUGGCGAGUGGCGAACGGGUGAGUAAUACAUCGGAACGUACCUUAUCGUGGGGGAUAACGCAGCGAAAGCUGUGCUAAUACCGCAUACGCCCUGAGGGGGAAAGCGGGGGGAUCGAAAGACCUCGCGCGAUUAGAGCGGCCGAUGCCUGAUUAGCUUGUUGGUGGGGUAAAAGCCCACCAAGGCGACGAUCAGUAGCUGGUCUGAGAGGACGAUCAGCCACACUGGGACUGAGACACGGCCCAGACUCCUACGGGAGGCAGCAGUGGGGAAUUUUGGACAAUGGGGGAAACCCUGAUCCAGCAAUGCCGCGUGAGUGAAGAAGGCCU
rnacentral:rRNA from 1 species